UGGAACUCAAGGAGUGGCUGAAGAAUCAGUGGAUAUUUUUAUAACCCACAUCCUGGCUUUCCAAAUCAGAAUCAUCCACUCAAGGAUGAAUGUUUUUAUUUACAUUGUUCCUUCUGUUUGGCUGAGUCAUCCAGCUAGAUUAGAACCUCUGCUUCUGCCUUCAGAGUGGUCCUGGGUGUUACUUGAUCAGCAUCAAACUUCUCCUCUGGACUUGUAAUGAUAGUAACUGGCAUUCAUUGAUUGCUAAUCAGUUUCUUACAGGUGCAGGGAUGCAUUUGAGCCAGAACUCUGAGUGAUCCCUGUGCUUCUGUAGCUGGUCCCUCUGUCUGCGAGCUGGGUCAUGCCGAAUGCCAGCCAUGGUCUCACACAUCUGUCUCCUCACUAGACAGCAAGUGCUGCUACAAGCAACUCAUUCUACGGCUUUCUGCUCCAGGACUACCCUCGACAUUCAGAAUAAAUGCCACUUUUGCUUAAUUCUUAAACAGAUGGCCGUGAGGGAACAGUUUGCUACACCACUGGCUCCUGCCGGAGACCACAAGCAAUGGAUCCACCCCAACCUGGACUGGAUCCUCAAAAGCUGUGGACAAAAUAAACAUUCUUUCUUUAUUGA
ensembl:lncRNA